rnacentral:lncRNA from 1 species
UGUAUUCCCUGCAUUGAGAAAAGAGCUCUUGAGCCAAAUUUCUGUGGGUGACCUACUUCUACUAGAUACCUUUACUUCCUUUUAAACUCUUAAAGAUUUUGACUACUACUUACACACAGAAUUGUAUUUGUUCUACAAGAGAGCUAACUAAUAAAUAUAUAAAGCUAUCCUAAUUACAAGAACUAAAUCUGAAAGUAUUUUGUGCUUAUAAUGAAUUGCAUCAGGUAAAUAAAAUGUAUUCUGUCCAUUCAGUAUAGAAGUUCUGUCACCAAGAUAGAUGGACUAACGAGUAUAAAUAUUGGUGUGGCUGAAAUGCGUAACAUCAUCAUUAUUUUGCCAAGAAAAUGCUAACCUGUUUUAAUCAUUCUAUUCACAGCAUAAUGUAAAGUGAUUCAGUAGUAAAAUGAAUCUACUUACAAAUUGUUUUAUGGCCGUAAUUGCGGUCCCUUUUUAGAAUGUAAGUUGAUGAUGAUAAUUUUAUGGGCAAAUGAUUUUUCAAUUAAAAUGUCUUUUUCACAGAUAGAAUGUGAGUGUUCCAAACUGUUCCCAGUAACUGCAGACCAGUUGGGUGGAGGCAUAUAGAGCUGCCAAAUGUAUCAACCUCUUUUCAGCCUCAGCUGAAAGAACUCCUGUUAUAUACAUGAUUUAUUUCAGUGAUAAUUUACUUCUGCUACACACACAAAGUACCUUUAUGUGGUCCUGUUGAUAUCUAAUAACCAGCUUUAGAAUUUGCUUUAGAAUUUGGUAGCAACUGAUGUUUCCC